CUCGAAUUAAAACUAAAAAUUAAACAAUUUUGUCAUCCAUCCAAUACAUGAGAAAAAUUAGCCUAACAUACUGUUGAAAUCAAACAAAUAAAAGUGGAAGAACAUCACCGAAAUUUGACGAAACGUGAUUAAUUCCAAAAGUAUUCUCGGCCUCUACAUGUAUGUAUUUUUCCCCAACAGCAAGUAGGCUCCUCCUUUUAUUUUUAUCUCCAAAUGGCACUAAUUCUCUUCCCUUGUCCAGGUGGUUCUGUAGGUAUGUAUGCAUAUCAAUUAAAUCACAAAGUUGCCCUUUUUUUUCUUCCUCUCACUGCCAACUUUCUGUGUCUUCUUUCUGUCCUCAAUUCACGUUUGUUUGUGUGUGAUUCCAGCCGGCAAUUGUAUGUCUCUCUUCUAAUUUCCACCAGCAGUUUAUGUAUGUAUAUAUCAUAUAAUUCAGCAACCGGCAAUUGUAUAUGAAUUCCAAAGUGGCCUCCUCUUUUUCUGUCUUUUGUCCACCUUUAAUUCAGCAGCUGAAGCCUAUUUUUCUCUUUCUCCUCCCAAAGAUGCCGACCAGAUUGUAAUUUUUUUUUGUCAACUCCCCUCCAAUCUGCUGCCCAAUUAUAUGUGUGAAUCCCUCAACAAUUUCCCAAGCAGCUACCUUUUAUACUCCAAUCGUAGCCGACGUCUUCCACUCCAAUUUUUUUCCCAGCUGUUUCUCUCCUUUCUGCCGGCACCAGUCUAUAAAUACAAAAAUAGAAUUCAACCCCCGACGGCAGCCCCUUGAUAUGUG
rnacentral:lncRNA from 1 species